CCUACGGGUGGCAGCAGUGGGGAAUAUUGCACAAUGGGGGACACCCUGAUGCAGCAACGCCGCGUGAGUGAAGAAGUAUUUCGGUAUGUAAAGCUCUAUCAGCAGGGAAGAGAAUGACGGUACCUGACUAAGAAGCACCGGCUAACUACGUGCCAGCAGCCGCGGUAAUACGUAGGGGGCGAGCGUUAUCCGGAUUUACUGGGUGUAACGGGAGCGUAGACGGUUCUGCAAGUCUGAAGUGAAAGCCCGUGGCUUAACCGCGGAACGGCUUUGGAAACUGUGGAACUUGAGUGCUGGAGAGGCAAGCGGAAUUCCUAGUGUAGCGGUGAAAGGCGUAGAUAUUAGGAGGAACACCAGUGGCGAAGGCGGAUUGCUGGACAGUAACUGACGUUGAGGCUCGAAAGCGUGGGGAGCAAACAGGAUUAGAUACCCGAGUAGUC
rnacentral:rRNA from 1 species